rnacentral:rRNA from 1 species
AUGUCCGGUGACGAGUCGGACGGGAAGAACAAGGGCGGCGGAAAGUGGUCGCCGAGGACGCCUUCAUCCAAGGCACCGCUCGCUCGCCUCACUGGCGACGACAUCGGUGAGUAUCGGGUAGUGGAGCACGUCGUGCGAGAACAGUUAGGGGCUUCCAUGAUGCUCACCCGCACGAAUUAUCAGGAGUGGGCGUUGGUGAUGCAGGUCAAGUUGCAGGUUGCCCGAGUCUGGUCUGCGGUGACCGACGACGACGCCGACGAAAAUGAUGACCGGCGCGCGCUGAGCAUUAUACUCACCGGCGUUCCGCCGGAGAUGCUGCGCGUGCUGGCCGCCAAGGACAUGGCGAAGACCGCGUGGGAGACAAUCAAAACCAUGCGGAUGGGGAGCGAGCGCACACGCCAGGCCAAGGCGCAAGUGCGCCGGCGGGAGUUCGAGGAUCUCCGUUUCAAGGAUGGGGAAUCCAUCGAGGACUUUAGGCUGCGGCUCUCUGCCCUCGUCACCGACCUGGAGAUGUACGGCGAUCCGGUCACCGAGCACAAGGCGGUGCAGAAGUUUCUCCGUGUGGUGCCGCGUCGCUACCGCCCGAUGGCGAUGGUAAUUGAAUCACUGAUCGAUCUCAAGACCAUGUCAGUGGAGGAACUGGUCGGUCGUCUCUCCGCCUGCGAGGAUCACUACGACCUCGAUGACGGCUCGCAGGCCACCGGGCGACUGCUGCUCACCCAUGAGGAGUGGCUGGCCCGUGAGAAGCUGGGCGGCGGUGGUGGAUCGUCGUUUGGUGGCGGCGGCAGCGGCGGCAAGAACAAGUCACCCGCUAAGCCUAAAUCUCACGGCGGCGGCAAGGGCGCGCCCGGGAACGCCGCGGCAGGUGGCUCAGGCGGAUCUGGUGGCAAGAAGAAGAAGGGCAAGUGUCAUCAUUGUGGCAUCCCAGGGCACUGGAAGAAAGAGUGCCGUACAUGGCUCCGCGAGCAGGAGCAGAAGGGCAAGCCGGAGCAGGCAAACUUGGCACAAGCUGAUGCCGAGCAUGAUCACGGCCUCCACAUGGCCGUGGUCACCAUAGUCGACACAUCUCAUCUCGUCGCACCCCAGCAGGUGUAUCUAAACGAGGAAAAGGUCCUGCCCGUGCCGUCUCCGGACGGCGUGUGGUUCUUCGACACCGGAGCCAGCAGUCACAUGACGGGCGAUAGGCGCAUGUUCGCGGCGCUGGACGAGACCGUGCGUGGCACGGUGCGGUUCGGCGACGGAUCCGUGGUGGCGAUACUUGGUCGCGGAUCUGUGGUCUUCCGUUGUCAGAGCGGAGGCCAGCGCGCGCUCACCGGCGUCUUCUUCAUCCCAAGCCUGCGCACCAACAUCGUUUCCGUCGGGCAACUUGACGAGGCCGGCUGCAUCAUCGACAUCAGGGACGGCGUCAUGGCGGUCCUCGACCCGUCGCGCCGCGUGCUAGCGCGCAUCAAGCGCACCUCCAACCGUCUGUACACUGGAGCACUCGCCGUGGACGCGCCAACGUGUCUGAUGGCGAUCGGGGACGACGAGGCUUGGCGGUGGCACACGUGCAUGGGGCACCUCCAUUUUCGUGCACUCCGGGCCAUGGCGUCCAAGGAGAUGGUGCAGGGCAUGCCCAUGAUCGAUCGUGUGGAGGAGUAUUGCGAUGGUUGCACCCUGGGGAAGCAGCACCGCGCGCCGUUCCUGCAGGCCAGCGCACACCGGGCAGAGCGUGGCCUGGAGCUCGUUCACACCGACCUCUGCGGUCCCAUCGAGCCCACGACGCCGGGAGGUAACAUGUAUUUUCUGCUGGUGGUCGAUGAUUUUAGUCGACACAUGUGGCUCGAGCUUCUGAAAUCCAAAGACGAGGCGUACGAGCGCUUCAGGAAGAUCCAGGCUGCGGCGGAGGCAAAGGGCCAGUGCAAGCUACUUGCUUUCAGGUCGGACCGCGGCGGCGAGUUCAACUCCGCCGAAUUCAGAGGCUACUGUGAGCAGCGCGGCAUCCAACACUUCACCACCGCGUCGUACUCCCCACAGCAGAACGGGGUGGUCGAGAGAAGAAACCAAACGGUGGUGGAGAUGGCGCGCUGCAUGAUGAAAAGCAUGUCUAUGCCAGCGCUGUUAUGUGGAGAAGCCAUGCGAACGGCGGUAUAUCUCCUGAAUCGCGCACCGACGAGGAGCCUGGAUGGUGUCACCCCUUACAAGGCGUGGCACGGCCGUAAACCCGCGGUGCAUCACCUGCGCAUGUUCGGGUGCACGGUUCAUGUCAAGAGCGUCGGGCCCGGCAUCACUAAGCUGAGUGACUACUCGACGCUGAUGGUGUUCGUCGGCUACGAAGAAGGCUCCAAGGCCUAUCGCGUCUACGAUCCUGCAAGCAAAAAGGUACGGGUGACGCGUGAUGUGAUCUUUGAGGAGAACAGGCCCUGGGCGUGGCGAACUCCGGGCGCGGCCAUUGAUGUUCCAGCGCCGGCGACGUUCACCGUGGUCUACACCAUGGAACAUGGCAUCCAGGAGCGCGACACUGGGCUGGACGCGCCGCCCCCGACGCCACGGACUCUGGCGAGGCCUCACUCCUCGUCACCAGGGUCGCUGCCCUUUGCGGCAGGCGGCACACCCUCAGCAAGCACGCCCGCGGCGAGCACGACCGCGGUGAACACGCCCACAACGGUCACGCCCAGCACACCUGUCAGAGACAUCCGCUGGGCUACGCCGCUGAGCCAUGAUGAGAAUCGCCGAGAUGUGGACACCGGCGACAUCAGAUAUCGCCGCGUCUCCUGCAUCAUGGAUGAGACCAAGGGGGAGGCCGUGCGCGAGGCGAUGGAGCACUGCCUGCUAAGCGCCGAGGAGCCAACAAAUGUUUCUGAAGCUCUUGAGGAUGCAGCGUGGAAGAAUGCCAUGGACACUGAAAUGGACUCAAUCACAGAAAACUGCACCUGGGAGCUGUCCUCUGUUCCUCGAGGGCACAAGGCCAUUGGACUCAAGUGGGUGUACAAGGUUAAACGCGAUCCCGACGGCAAGAUCCUCAAGUACAAGGCCCGAUUGGUUGCAAAGGGCUAUGCACAGCGAGAAGGGAUAGACUUUGAAGAGGUUUUUGCACCAGUUGCACGCAUGGAGACAGUGCGUCUGUUCCUUGCUCUCGUGGCGCACUCUAACUGGGAAGUACAUCAUAUGGAUGUGAAGACAGCCUUUCUGAAUGGAGAGCUCGCUGAGGAGGUGUAUGUGGCACAGCCACCGGGUUACGUCGUGACCGGGAAGGAGGAUCAGGUGCUAAAACUGAAGAAAGCACUCUACGGUCUCCGUCAGGCACUGAGAGCAUGGUAUGCCAAACUGGAUGAAUCCCUUUGCUCGCUCGGUUUCAGAAGAAGUCCGUUGGAACAUGCUAUGUACAGGCGAGGCGAUGCAGUUUCCUACUUGCUUGUGGGCGUCUAUGUCGACGAUUUGAUCAUUACAGGCAGUGACACAGCACACAUAUUGGAAUUCAAGACCCAGAUGCAGAACCUUUUCAAGAUGACAGAUCUUGGCUUGCUGAGUUACUACCUGGGUAUUGAAGUGUCCCAAUUCAAGGAGGCAAUCACUUUGUGCCAGCAUGGGUAUGCUGAGAAAAUACUGGAGAUGGCCGGUAUGAGUGAAUGUAAUCUGUCUCACACUCCCAUGGAAUGCAGACUAAAGUUAAGGAAAGAAGAUGAAGGGAAAGCUGUUGAUCCCUCUCGCUACCGCGGCGUGGUUGGAAGCCUGAGGUACUUGGUUCAUACCAGGCCGGACAUCACACAUGCUGUGGGCAUUGUCAGUAGGUCAUGGAGAAGCCGACCACGACACAUUGGACAGCAAUCAAGCAGAUACUCAGGUAUAUUCAGGGAAUACUGA